ensembl:lncRNA
GCUAGUGGUUGCCAGGGGCGCUCGGAACUGAAGGCGUGUGGUCAACCUGUCCCAAGAUUGUCGACUGGGUAAUUUUAUGGCGAGCCGGACUGUCUGAACCCUGGUUUGAUGGGUCCCUAUCAGAGAGCGUUUGUCCCAGGCUCUCCUCGCUGUCCACCCGCCCGGCUGUUAGCUGUAUUCCCCGCUCUUCCGGCUCUGGCGCAGACUUCCCUCCAGGUGCUGUGACUGCCUGCAGGACUGAACUUGGGAAAUGCUUGCGUCUGCACCGGUGCUGUGAGCGAGUCCAUUCACUUCAGCUCACCCUUCCCAUGGCUCGUUUGUUGAGAAAAGUUGCCUUAACUCCCAACGUGAUGGUGAAGAAGAGACACCAGAUAGCUCUCCCUGGCUGCCCCCACCCACCACGAGGGCAGAGUGAGAACGAGAAGGUGACUGUCUCCAAAUCAGGAAGAGGGAUCACAUCAGAACCUGAACAUGCUGGCACCAUGAUCUCAGACUUCCAGCCUCCAAAACUGUCAAAAAACAAAUUUCUGUGGUUUAAACCACCCGGUCUAUGGUAUUUCAUUAUAACAGCCCAAACUGAAUUAAGACAGAACUUAUGGUUAGCCUCAGUGGAAAAAUCAAAGUGCAGUCCCUGGGAUUUGAGCAGGGCCAAAGGCAAUGGCAGCCCACUCCAGUACUCUUGCCUGGAAAAUCCCAUGGAUGGAGGAGCCUGGUAGGCUUCAGUCCAUGGGGUCGCGAAGAGUCGGGACACGACUGAGGGACUUCACUUUCCCUUUUCACUUUCAUGCGUUGGAGAAGGAAAUGGUGACCCACUCCAAUGUUCUUUCUUGCCUGGAGAAUCCCAGGGACAGUGGAGCCUGGUGGGCCGUCUGUGGGGUCACACAGAGUCGGACACGACUGAAGUGACUUAGCAGUAGCAGCAUUCUAUCUGUAGCAGAAAAUUUCCUGAGUUUAAGAAACAACUAGUGUGAUACUGCACAUUGGUAGAAACCAAACACUUAACCAUGGGACUCCAAGUGACUCUGUGCCCAGAACUGCCCAUUAUGUUCUGGGUUCUUUUGGUGUUCAGAUGGACCCAGUAGCAUUUAUUAUAAGAUGGAAAUAGUACAUCUGAAAUGGACCUCAAGCACAAUUGAGAUACUUGUAAGCUGCAGGACCAAGUAAUCCAGACUCCCAUGUCACCCACCAUAGCUGCACCAACAGCUGACCAGCUGAAGGAGGAGGGAUAAAGGCUGAGUUUGGUUUAUGGAUGAGUCAGCUUAGUAUGUGGGCGUAAGCCAAAAUUAGAUAGUGGCUCCUUUAUAGCCACAUACUUGAUAAGCUUUGAAAAAUAGAG